rfam:Otolemur garnettii contig184164, whole genome shotgun sequence.
CCGGGGUGAGGUAGUAAGUUGUAUUGUUGUGGGGUAGGGAUAUUAGACCCCAAUUAGAAGAUAACUAUACAACUUACUACUUUCCCUGG